CUCCUAAUGGCCUUUCUUUUCCUUCCUUUCCUGUAAAUAGUUCUUACCGCAACUACACCCUGAAGUAAGGAGUUUGUACAAAGGAGUCUUUCUUUUCUCCCCGGGAAGUCUCGGAAGGGAAACCUUCUAGCUUUGUGAUACUUUGAUCGUGGCUUGGGGAGAUUAUGGCUCCAUUUCGGGUGAUUUUCGACGUCGCGCCGAGGAGCCGUCCGAGCAUACGUGCGUCGCCGUAGUUUAGCGAGGAGGCCGGGCGAGGGAGCGUUUUCGUCGUUCUCGACGCCGUGCCGGAAUUGGAGUCACUGGUUGAGGAUUUUGUCGUCGACUGUUAGUAUCUCAGCUCGUACGCGACGUAGGAGCAUCGGAUUUCAACGAGAUUUGGUUCGUUGGAACCGGGGCUUCGAGACGAAUCCAUAGGAUCCUUACUCGCCCGAUUUGGAGAAGGAGUGUCGAAACGCGACGAAAUUUGAUGUGCUAGAUUCGCGACUUCGAGACGAAGAUUCUGAGUCCAAGAUCGUGAUUUUUGGAGCAGGUUCCAGCGUCGACGUUUCGUAUUCUGGCCCGUUCUCUGCGUAGGAACGUCGGAUUGCGACGAGGCUUGGUUCGUUGGAUUCGGAACUUCGAGAGGAAUCCACGAAGCCCUCACUUGCCAGAUUUGGUGAAGGUUAGCUCGGUCGAAUCCCGUUCCUACUCAGCUGCUGUGAAUUUCUGGACUGAAUCGAGGAUCCUUAAUUGUUUAGCUUGGCGUUAGCUCGUCCACCGGACUUGGAGGUCCCCAGUUGAUCCAGCAGAGGUUGUCCUGGUUCGAGGCUUCGUUCGCUGCCUGGAUUUAGCUUUUGAGGUAACCUAAACCUGGACUUAGGAUGAAAUCAGAUGUCUUUUAUGGCAAUAUCACUUGAGACACAGUAUCGGUGCACAAGACUCUCCUGGCGUACAGUUUUCAGAGAACCCCGCUCCUACGCCGCAAAGCACUCUCUGGCUAUCAAUGGCGAAAUUUACAGAGCAUUUCUCUUAUCAAAUCUGCCAAGCGUAUAUGCUUCACACUUGCUCAGGAUGAAAUAUUUACCAUAAAGAUAUUAAGGAAUUUCAUGAAGAGUUCAAGGAAAGGGUUUCAUGGAGCAAAGAAAAUGCCAUGGAUACAAGAGUUCGAGAAAUAUAAUAAAACAAGAGAUAAAACUUACAUCACAAAGCUAGAAGGUUUCCCUUCCGGGACUUCCCGGGGGGGGAAGAAAGACUCCUUUGUACAGACUCCUUACUUCAAGGUGUAGUUGCGGUAAGAACUAUUUACAGGAAAGGAAGGAAAAGAAAGGCCAUUGAGAAUAUUUGUGGAGGUAGGAUGCUCUCCUAUAUAAUUGUCUCUUUUUCUUGGCGACGAAUUGAUCUUCCUUAAUGUGCUUCUUCUUUUUCUAUCUUCUCUCGUUUUGUCUAAUUGUUUUUUGAUGUUCCGAAUGCAUUCCUUUUAUAGGCGAAGUGGGAAGGAGCGGCCAAAUGCAGGAGGAGGAAGGAUCCUGCAAAACGUUAAAUUGGCGGGGUCCACAAUUCUGUUGUUUUCUUCAGAGGAAGCUUCGAGGCGGAUUCGUUAUUGCGGUGGGGCCCACUGUUUUGUAAAUUGAUGCCCAUGGUUUUGAUGCACUUCAGGGGAGUCUUAAUUAAUUGAAGUGGGGGCCACGCGAAUAAUCCGUCAUUUGUUUUGUCCGUGAGUGGGAAGUUUCACAAAAAUUUUGUAGUGUCCUGUGGUUGUCAUUUAGCAGUCACGAGUCACCAUUGUAGGAUGUUUCUUGAAUACCUUGGUUUUUGGUUGGUAGUGGAUCUCUUCUAAUGUAGAGAACGCCCGGUUUUGAUGAUGGUGGAGUUUGGACAAGAGGGUGUUCGAUCAUGGAGUUGCAUCAGAAGGUGUUUGGUGGUGAAGUUUGAGAAGAAGGUGUUACCAUUCAAAUAAAAUCCUAAACUAAGAACCCUUAUUUUUGCCUGUGAUAAAA